ensembl:lncRNA
UUUUUAACAAAACAUCAUUUUAUUUUAACAUAAACAGCAAAUACAAAAAAAUCAAUUAUACACAAACAGGUUUGCCGUUAGUAUCUGCAGAGCAGCACAUGUAGAAAUGCCCUGAGAGUUGCCUGUUUCAAUACAGGAAAAAAACCCGAAAAAACUCGAAAAACAUUACUCACCUCAAAGAAUUUCCAGUCUAAACUCCAAAGAACGGAAUCGUGACUUUAGACUAAACAGACUCACACUUACACACACACCUACACAAACAGACACUAACAGCAGCUCAGCUUGGAUGAACAUGCAGUGACUUUUCCUUGAAAUAUGUUUUGUUUUGUUUUUUACAUAAUUACAUUAUUUCUUUUCUAUUUUCUCUUUCCACACCAACAAUACAACAUCUCAUAAUGAACAGAUUGUAUAGUUAUGGGUUACAAUUCACUUUUUUUCCUACAUUUAAAUAGGAGAAUGAAAUUGGAUUAACUGACUGGUGGGAAAUCAGCAAACAGUCAAAAAUUGAGCCAAAUUUGACGGAUGAGGUUAAACGUUGUCCGUACAAAUAUUUUGUGUGUAACUGAGUCAUCUAAAGCUGUUAAUCAAUUUAUUCAUUAACCAAAUAUAUUAAAAUGUGCAGAGCUUUCCAUUUUAGUGGUUAACAAUUUCCAGUCACUGGCAUUGUACAUUAACCCUCUGAGAUCCAAGUUGCAAUUAGUUCUAAAAAGCACGCCACUUCCAAAGAUGCAUAAAUGCAUUGAGUUGCUGUCAUAUGAUUGGCUGAUCAGAAAUCUGCUUUUAGAAGCAGUUGAAUGGGUGAACCUAACAAAGUGGCUGUCUUGGCAAUCAUGGAAUAAAGACAAUAGAGACUCUAUACAGACCCAUCACACAUUAUGUCUUAUUUUACACAAAUAUCUGUUUCUUUUUUCAUAUGAGGGGAUCGGGAUUAACACCUUUGAUGACUCAGUCCUCAGAGGGUUAAUAAAAUAUGAAUAAUUACUUCAGCUGACCAGCAAGUAUACCAGCAUUCAAGCCUCCGGCUGACUAAUUGUGCACAUAUCUAGCACAUACCAGCUAUUUCUUAGACUUGAAUGAACAGAACUGCUGUGCUCCAAACUUUGCCAGUUGGUCUUAGUUGCAGAGCAUGAAUACAACCCUCUGGUUUUCACACUGCUGAGCUAUUCUGCAGCAUCCAGGCAAACGAGCAGGUGAGUGCUGGACUCUCGUGCGGCUGCUGUGCCAAACUCCUGUCCCUCCUGUCUGUAGUCAGCAACCUGGAAGAAAAUGAAGAAUAUGUUCACACAGGAGCCUUACAGAACAUUUGGUAGAUGCUUACAAUGCUCUAACGGGUUAUCUAUGUGGUGUGAAGACAAACACACAAUGCAGGUUUUAGUCUAGUCUAAGGAAUCCAACGCAGGUGUCAUUGGCUAAGAUGCAGGACAUACAAGUAGAAAAUAUUUCGAUUAAAUAAAACACAUUUUUAUAUCCUAAAAAGACAUUUUUCCGUUUGCUCUCAAUGUCACCAAGUUCAAAAUCCAAAAUAUUCAACAAAAACAACGACAACAGUACAUUUAAAGUGUUAACCAAUAUCUUUCUGCAGCCAGGUUUACCAAGAAGUCCCAGGCCUAUCACACAGAUGUUUUUUUAAAAAAUACAUUUGCUCCCAAAUAUUUCUUCACCUGUUAAUAAAACGAUGUAGAGUAUUCUCUUAAAAAAAUACAAUGCAUUUAAUCUGACUCCAGCGCCCCUGCUGUGUGGAAGCUGCCGUCCCGCCAUGGAUCGAUCGUAUUUCUAAACCCCCAAAACUGUUCCAUAACUCAUAUCUUUCAUGUGACGUCCGUUUGGUUCUGCUCUGGUGGUGAG